UUCCGGAGAGGGAGCCUGAGAAACGGCUACCACAUCCAAGGAAGGCAGCAGGCGCGCAAAUUACCCAAUCCAGACAUUGGGAGGUAGUGACGAGAAAUACUGGGGGCGCCCCUAGUGGGUGCCAUCCGGAAUGAACGUAACACAAAAAAUUCGAUGAGGAUCUACUGGAGGGCAAGUCUGGUGCCAGCAGCCGCGGUAAUUCCAGCUCCAGUAGUGUAUAUCAACAUUGUUGCGCUUAAAACGCUCGUAGUUGGAUUACAGGGCGCCUAACGGACUGCUCAAUGAGCAGGUUCGGUCGACAGCAUACUGCCGCAGCAGCCAAAAGCUGUUUGUAGGUGGGAGCUGGCGAUGGCGCCCUUUUGUCGCACUAGCCUUUGUUGGUGGCUUUGUUGCUGCCGGCAAAGCGCUGGUGGAGUGUGCCUUGAAUAAAACAUGGUGCUCAAUGCAGGCGUACGCUCGAGUGUAAUAGCAUGGAACGAAUAGUUGGCCGUCUGUUGACUGCGACCGGUUGUGCUGCAAAGUGCAGUCGGCGCGGAAAACGCGACUCACUGAGUGUUGGUUGUGAGUCAGGUCUCUACGAUUAAAAGGGACAUUUGAGGGCACUAGUACUUUGUGGCGAGAGGUGAAAUUCUUAGACCCACAAAAGACUGACUAUUGCGAAAGCAUUUGCCAAGAAUGUUUUCAUUAAUCAAGAACGAAGGUCAGAGGAUCGAAGACGAUCAGAUACCGUCCUAGUUUUGACAGCAAACUAUGCCAGCGUAGGGUCAGAGCGGCCACUCGCUUAGGUCGAGACGCGCCACUUUGGGCCUUAGGGGAAACCUAGCUUUCGGGCUGCUGGGAGAAUAUCGCUGCAAGGCUGAAAUUUAAAGAAAUUGACGGAGAGGCACCACCAGGAGUGGAGCCUGCGGCUUAAUUUGACUCAACACGGGGAAACUCACCAGGUCCAGACAUUGGUAGGAUUGACAGACUGGUAGAUCUUUCAUGAUUCAGUGAAUGGUGGUGCAUGGCCGUUCUUAGUUGGUGGAGUGAUCUGUCAGGUCUAUUCCGGUAACGAGCGAGACCACGACCUUUAGUUGGAGCGAUUGCUGCGGCGACUCAGCUCCCUAGAGGGACUAUUGGUGAAAAGCCAGCGGAAGCGUGGCAAUAACAGGUCUGUGAUGCCCUUCGAUGUCCUGGGCUGCACGCGCGCUACAAUGGCAGCAGUAGAGAGUUGCUGGCCUGAGAGGGUUGGCGAAACUGUAAAUGGCUGUCGUGAUAGGGAUUGAGCCUUGUAAUUAUUGCUCAUGAAAGAGGAAUUCCUCGUAAGCACGAGUCAUCAGCUUGUGUUGAAUAUGUCUCUGCCUCUUGUACACACCGCCCGUCGCUACUACCGAUUGAAUUGUGUCUAAAGCUGGUUGGACCGU
rnacentral:rRNA from 1 species